rnacentral:rRNA from 1 species
UACGUAGGCAGCAAGCGUUGUUCGGAAUUACUGGGCGUAAAGAGUGUGUAGGCGGUGCUCUAAGUUCGGUGUGAAAUCUCCUGGCUCAACUGGGAGGGUGCGCCGGAAACUGGGGUGCUGGAGCGCGGGAGAGGAAAGCGGAAUUCCUGGUGUAGCGGUGAAAUGACGUAGAUAUCAGGAGGAACACCGGCGGUGUAGACGGCUUUCUGGACCGUAGCUGACGCUGGAGACAGAAAGCGUGGGAGCAAACAGG